UGGGGAAUCUUGCACAAUGGGGGCAACCCUGAUGCAGCGACGCCGCGUUAGCGAUGAAGCCCUUCGGGGCGUAAAGCUCUUUCGACCGGAACGAUAAUGACGGUACCGGGAGAAGAAGCUGCGGCUAACUACGUGCCAGCAGCCGCGGUAAUACGUAGGCAGCAAGCGUUGUUCUGAGUUACUGGGCGUAAAGAGUGCGUAGGCGGUUUUCUAAGUUCGGUGUGAAAUCGCCCGGCUUAACUGGGAGGGUGCGCCGAAGACUGGGAAGCUGGAGUGUGGGAAAGGCAGGCGGAAUUCCUGGUGUAGCGGUGAAAUGCGUAGAUAUCAGGAGGAACACCGGCGGUGUAGACGGCUUGCUAGACCAUAACUGACGCUGAGGCACGAAAGCGUGGGUAGCAAACA
rnacentral:rRNA from 1 species